rnacentral:misc_RNA from 1 species
CCGAGUUCUGGGUUACCCUCGCGGUGCCCGAUCUCCCAACCCUGUGUUUAUACCGACCACUGUUGCUUCGGCGAGCCGGACCCCGCAAGGGGCCCGCCGGGGGGAAGAGAUUCCCCCUGGAGAGUGCCCGUCGAUGGCCAACCUAAACAAACUCUUUUUAGAAACCACCUUCUGAAAAAACACUUCGUUAUUCUUAAUAACAAAAACA